AACGCGAAGAACCUUACCUGGGCUCGAAAUGUACAGGAAUCCGGUGGAAACAUCGGCGCCCCGCAAGGGGCCUGUAUAUAGGUGCUGCAUGGCUGUCGUCAGCUCGUGUCGUGAGAUGUUGGGUUAAGUCCCGCAACGAGCGCAACCCUUACCUCCAGUUGCUACCAUUUAGUUGAGCACUCUGGCGGAACCGCCUCGGAUAACGGGGAGGAAGGUGGGGAUGACGUCAAGUCCUCAUGGCCUUUAUGUCCAGGGCUACACACGUGCUACAAUGGCCGGUACAAACCGUCGCAAACCCGCGAGGGGGAGCUAAUCGGAAAAAGCCGGCCUCAGUUCGGAUUACAGUCUGCAACUCGACUGUAUGAAGCUGGAAUCGCUAGUAAUCGCGGAUCAGAAUGCCGCGGUGAAUACGUUCCCGGGCCUUGUACACACCGACUGUAC
rnacentral:rRNA from 1 species